AUUGAACGCUGGCGGCAGGCCUAACACAUGCAAGUCGAGCGAGCGGCGGACGGGUGAGUAAUGUCUGGGAAACUGCCUGUUGGUGGGGGAUAACUCCUGGAAACGGUAGCUAAUACCGCAUACCAUCUGAUGUGCGCAGCUGGGAUUAGCUAGUGGGUGGGGUAACGGGUCACCUAGGCGACGAUCCCUAGCUGGUCUGAGAGGAUGACCAGCCCCACUGGAACUGAGACACGGUGCAGACUCCUAGGGGGGGAAGCAGUGGGGAAUAUUGGACAAUGGGCGCAAGCCUGAUGCGACACUGCCGCGUGUGUGAAGAAGGCUUUCGGUUUGUAAAGCACUUUCAGCGGGGAGGCGUUACCCGCAGAAGAAGCAGCGGCUAACUCAGUGCCAGCAGCCGCGGUAAUAC
rnacentral:rRNA from 1 species